GACGAACGCUGGCGGCGCGCUUAACACAUGCAAGUCGAACGGAAAGGCCUGCUUUCCCUUGUGGAUUGCGGGUACUCGAGUGGCGAACGGGUGAGUAACACGUGAGUGAUCUGCCCCCAACUUUGGUAUAAGCCUGGGAAACUGGGUCUAAUUCCCGAUAGGACUGCAGGGUGGUGCCUGUGGUGGAAAACGAUUUUCUAGUGGUUGGGGAUGAGCUCGCGGCCUAUCAGCUUGUUGGUGGGGUAAUGGCCUACCAAGGCGGCGACGGGUAGCCGGCCUGAGAGGGUGGACGGCCACAUUGGGACUGAGAUACGGCCCAGACUCCUACGGGAGGCAGCAGUGGGGAAGAUUACACAAUGGGCGGAAGCCUGAUGCAGCGACGCCGCGUGGGGGAUGACGGCCUUCGGGUUGUAAACUCCUUUCGACCGCGAGGAAGCCACCUGGUUGGAAGGGUGGUGACGGUAGUGGUAGAAGAAGCACCGGCUAACUACGUG
rnacentral:rRNA from 1 species